UACGAGGGGGGCGAGCGUUGUUCGGAAUUAUUGGGCGUAAAGAGCUCGUAGGCGGUUCGACAAGUCGGGUGUGAAAACUCCGGGCUCAACCCGGAGACGCCACCCGAUACUGUCGUGACUGGAGUCCGGUAGGGGAGUGGGGAAUUCCUGGUGUAGCGGUGAAAUGCGCAGAUAUCAGGAGGAACACCGGUGGCGAAGGCGCCACUCUGGGCCGGUACUGACGCUGAGGAGCGAAAGCGUGGGUAGCAAACAGG
rnacentral:rRNA from 1 species